UUGAUUCUUAAUUUCUUAUCCUCCUCCUCCUCCUCCUGACUUUCUCUUUCUAUCCCUCAAAUUUCUGUUAUUGCAGCAAUGGCUGCUGCCGCUUCCGGCUAUGUGGUUACUCUUGAUUUAUGCAGCAGCACCUCUAGAUGUUCUUCUUCUUCUUCGAUUUCAUUCCGCAAUUCAAAUCGAAUCACAUGUCCUGCUUCUCUUCCUGUUACCUCAUGGUUGGCCAAUAAGAUGACGAAGACAAGAAGAUCUCUUUGUGUGCAUGGCUUAUUUGGAGGUGGAAAAAAAGAAAAUAAUGACAAAGACAACAAUACCUCAAAGGCUGGAAUACUAGGGAACAUGCAAAAUUUGUAUGAGACUGUUAAAAAAGCUCAGAUGGUAGUCCAGGUUGAAGCUGUACGUGUGCAAAAAGAACUAGCUGCAGCAGAAUUUGAUGGUUACUGUGAAGAUGAACUAGUGAAGGCAACACUUUCUGGCAACCAACAACCUCUGAGAAUUGAGAUAACUGAAGCAGCCAUGGAGUUGGGAGCUGAAAAACUGUCUUUGUUGAUCAAUGAGGCUUAUAAUGAUGCACACCAGAAGAGCGUUCAGGCUAUGAAGGAAAGAAUGAACAACCUUGCCCAGAGCCUAGGAAUGCCACAAGGCCUCGGCGACGGAUUGAAGUAGGCUGAUUCUCUUUGACAUGAGGGGGAGGAUAGACAAUCAAACAGACAAACAAAUAGUUAUUGGUAUUUCUUAAGGACAGGUCAACAAGGAGAGAUUUGGAACUUAAGUGAUAUGCCCAUACUGAAGAGUUCCUGGCACAACAACUUGGUCCCAAAGGGCACAUCGACCUGCAUAACAUGUUCUACGGAUUUGCAAAAGCGACAAUAGGGAGCCCUAGCCUUGCGUCCUGCACCGGGCACGGCCCUCUGGACCAAGUUGGCUGGGUUGUUGCAUUUCCCGCAAACGUGCAUUUGUGAGGAAUCGCUCAAAGUGAAGAGGCGCUCGUGAAGAUUGGCCGAUGAACCAUGAGCUAUCAGGCAGUCUCGCUCCAUCUCACCAAAUUUUAUACCGCCAAACCUCUUUCUAUCUGAAACAGGCUGUCUAGUGAACGGGUGCACUGGUCCUGUAUUCCUAAACUUCACUUUGUCUUCUGCCAUGUGGGUCAAACGCUGGUACAUUGUGGGUCCUAUGAAUAUAAGAGGCCUCACCAUUUCGCCACUCAAACCGCAGCAUACUUUCUCGGUUCCCCACCUACAAAAUCCCCCACUGCCCCACCCCACACCACAGAGGAUAUUAUUCAUGUUAUUCUAUCCAAUAUAAACGAGUACUAGGAAAUAUACACACACAUACCUAUGCAACUGUUCUAUUAUGUCAUUGACAGAAAGAGUCGAAAAGGGAGUGGCACUACGCAACUGGCCGCCCAAGGCAAUCCCCUUGGCCAAAGCAGCCUCCAGUAGUUGACCCGGAGUUUGGCGAGAAGGAAAUGCAUGAGGGUUUAUGAUAAUGUCAGGGACUAUUCCUUCAAUUGUGAAUGGAAAGUUUUCUUGAGACUCCACAAAUCCUAGAACACCCUUCUGUCCAUGCAUGCUGGAGAAUUUGUCUCCAAGGCAUGGACUUCUCACCUGCAACAUCAUCGUCGUCAUCUCGCCAUUGAAUUAAACACAACAUAUAUUUGUAUGAAUAUUUCAUGGGAAGGAUCUAAUUUUUAUGACGGGGUUUAUAUUAAGCCACUGAAUUAAAAUGA